CAAACAGAGCGAUUAGGAGUGCUUAAACCGGUUUUACUGCUUUAAAUUAUGUUUCUACUGAAACAAUCCUAUUUUUACAGAUAAAAACAGCACUUUUUAAUAUAAUUCGACAUUAUUUGGAACGAAGCUAAUACUAAUUUUCUAGACUUUUUUAGAUUGUAUAAAUUUUGAUAUUUUAUAGUUUAAAUGGCGGUGGAGGCGGAAGAGGUUUUGCCGCCUCCAACGCAGCCGCCUUCGCCUCCGAGACGUCUCUUUAAUUAGGAGGCGGCGGCGGCAGCCACUCGGGCAUCGUCGGCCACGGAGGCCCUGGAGGAGUGGCCGUCCCUCCCCACGAGUGAUAAAAUAAUUCAUGAUCCAUAUAUGUAUUAAUAGCUCUAAGUGCAAAGUGACCUUUUAUUUUUUAUAUUUAGAUAUUUAUGCUCACUGAUUGGUUGAAAACAAUCAACAUUGCAUGUAAGCAAAUGCAGUCGCCCGCAAGGUUAUCAAGUUUGCCCCUGUGUUAUACAAUAUAAAAGGCUCGGUGGUUCUCACCACCGGCAAUAAUCGCACCAUGGACACCGUCAGGAUUUCUCUGCUCUUUGCUCUGCUCUUCGCCGUAGUAGCCGUCAACGCAAGUACGACCGGCCAAGGUGGCACCAGUAGACUCUCGACCGGC